rnacentral:lncRNA from 10 species
GGGGCGGGGGUGGUGGUGGUGAGGCUUCAAGGUGCGGCUAUGGGGGGCUGCUUGUCCUCUCCUUUCCUGCUGAUUCUCCCGCAAUGGUAGCCCAAGCAUCCAUGCAAUUUGUGAGUCAGAAUGCUCAGAUGCUGUUCCAGGGAACAGACGGGCCGAGCUUAUAUCACAGAUCUAUCGUCGUCAUCAUCAUCACCGUCAUUAAAAAAAAAAAUCAGGCUAGGCUCUGUGGCUCAUGCCUGUAAUCCCAGCAUUUUGGGAGGCCAAGGCAGGUGGAUCCCCUGAGGUCAAGAAUUCCAGACCAACCUGGCCAACGUGGCAAAACCCCCUCUCUACUAAAAAUACAAAA